UAGAGGCUCAGGCUUAAAUGGUUCCAGUACAGCUGGAGAAAUAUCGCUGCCAUUGCGAGGCACUUGAGACAUCAUUUGGAUGCUCACCAAUGUGCCUGGAAUAAAAAAGGAUCAUGUUACAAGACAGUCCUUGGCUUUUUGGCAUGCUUAGCCAUGAACAUCACUUGUGCUGGCAGUAUUUUUUUUCAGGUGAGCAAAUGGCCAGCUGUGGGAAGACAUGCUGUGUGUUAGGGUUUUCUGAGGCAGUCUUCUGUGAAGAAGAAACCAAUAUGCUGAUAGACAUAGCUAAGACCUUGCUUUCUGUUUUGGUCUCCCAGAUUGAGUUUUUGAGACAAAGCUGCUCCCUGGGAAGCAAAUGCUGGCAUUGGACUAUACGUUAUAAGAAAUAACACUGCUUGUGUGCUGCUGUGAUCAUCUGUGUCACAGGACUGUUAUUAAAUGUAAACACAGAUUCUCCUCCUCAGACUAUGAACAUCUGUUGCUUGUGACAAAGGGGAGCCAAAAUAUAAACAGUUGUAAAUUACAGAGUGAACUGCUGUAAAAGACUCUGCUAAGGGUUGAACUACAGUAAAAGGAACCUAAAUGUUUCAGAAUUGAAAUUUGAACAUUCUUCCUUCCUAUAACAAUAAAA